CCCCUAGACGUUCUGGGCUGCACGCGCGCUACAAUAAUACGCACAGCGAGUAUCACCGAGCUCGAAAGGGCAAGGUAAACAAUAGAAAAGGUACUGUAAUGGUUAUAGAUCCUUGUAAUUAUUGAUCUUCAACGAGGAAUUCCUAGUAAGUAUGUGUCAUCAUCACGCACUGAUUACGUCCCUGCCCUUUGUACACACCGCCCGUCGCUCCUACCGAUUGAGUGAGCCGAUGAAACUGCCGGAUGUGGACUAUUCAUAGUCUGCAGAAGAUAUUUGAAUCGUAGCGCUUAGAGGGAGGAGAAGUCGUAACA
rnacentral:rRNA from 1 species